rnacentral:rRNA from 1 species
CAGUCGCCGCGGUAAUGCGUAGGGGGCAAGCGUUAUCCGGAAUUACUGGGUGUAAAGGGAGCGUAGACGGUUAAACAAGUCUGAAGUGAAAUGCCGGGGCUCAACCCCGGAGCUGCUUUGGGAACUGUAGAACUGGAGUGUCGGAGGGGUAAGCGGAAUUCCCAGUGUAGCGGUGAAAUGCGUAGAUAUUGGGAGGAACACCGGCGGCGAGGGCGGCUUACUGGACGACAACUGACGUUGAGGCUCGAAGGCGUGGGUAGCAAACAGGAUUAGAUACCCGUGUAGUCCCUGUCUCUUAUAC